GCACCGCCAGCUCGGUCGCGCCGGUCCUCCCCGCGCCCUGGGGCGCGUCUUCGCUGGAGAAGCCUCCCGGGGACCCACCGCGGGAUUCUGGGCUUGGAAGAAGACCCGGCCGGGCCGAGCGGACGCCCGACUUAGUCCAUUCCUGUGCACUAGGAGUGAGCUCUGAGGGCGCACCACCCGGAGACGAGGCUGAAGCCGCAGGGGAGAGGGUGCAGAGGACCAGACUCAAGCACCCUGGAGUUUGGCUCACUAAUGCAGUCCCAGAGGUUCCUUCGAAGCAGAUCUUGUGUGCUGCAGAUAUUUGGAGGGAGGAUUAUUGGAGAAUCAGAAGAAGACGACAAUAGAUUGCAGGAAAACUCACAGCAGUGAACUGUAACAAAUGGAAACCUUGAUUUCAAUUGCCUGCAUUCUUGGGACUCAUGGUAGACACAAUGGAGAACUUGGAGUGUCUAUGAAAACUUUCAGUGUCUGCGAAAUAGCUCGACGGUUUUGGGGUGGCUGACAUCACUGAACUUGGGAGCUAACCACCCACUUAAGAAAAAAGCUGCAGUGUGACAUACUUCACGAACCCUGAGAGUCACCCUUGGAAAGCAUACAAUUCAGUAGUACGAACUCGCUUUUCUUUCCUAGCAAUAUCUAAAGCGAUGGCAUGUACUUCUCCAGGCCUUUCUCAUCCACAAACUGUAUUUAAGAUCUGACAACAAAAGCCUCCAGAAGUCCUGAUAAGUUCUUUAAAUGUGAGCUCUCUCAGGCGCCAGGAACUGCGCGCAAGUCCGGUUUAAGCAUCACGAGAACUGUGACAUCUGCUGCCUGCAGACCCAUUUCUGGGCACUUGUGAACCAAUGAAUUAACCCAACAAACAGCUUGACUUUGUGACGCUGCAUCCCACGAGGAAAAGAGAGAAAACAGUGUUUCCAACAUACAACAUUUUGGAUGAUGGAAAGUGCUGUAGGCAAAAAUAAAGAACAGUCAAGGAGACGGAUGUGUGGAUGUGUGUGGUUGGCAUGAGAAGAAAACAAUUUUGAAAAGAAAGAUGACAACACCGAUGCUGAGAAAGGGAAGUAAUGAGCCUACCACCACACUACUCCCAGGUGCCUGAGCCAAAAUUGAGACUCUGGAACCUUCACCCUUUGCUUUUAGGCUCAAGUUCUCUUAAGACAGAAGUGCAACUGGACUGGACUUGGAAAACUGGAUUGGGAGAGAGACGCAGGGGACUAAGUAUGGAACAGCUGAAUUGUUUCACUGAAUGAGGAGGUCUUGGCCUCCAACAAUGGAAGAAAAUUCAGAAGCAAUUUACUGGGCACCCUAUCUCUAGUUAUCUGGAGGGUGCUGCUGUGUCUCCGAGUUACCACAGAGUGGCAGUGUUUCAGAGCUUAACUAAAGUUAGCAGGUGUUUUCCAAAGUCCCCAGUUCAGCCCUCUUUCAGAACCUACUAGGGGUGUUUUCUUUUUUGCCCCAUGUAUUUUACAGAUUACAGAAUUUUCAUCCAAAUAAAAAGUAUUUCUCUCUGUAAAUUUCCUUUUUCAUGGAAAAUGAUAAGUAGGCGAUGCAACAGUUACUCUCGUAUCAUAAGAUUUGCUUUUGAAAUAAAAUACAGUGA